rnacentral:rRNA from 1 species
AGCGCACCUUCGGGUGAGCGGCGGACGGGUUAGUAACGCGUGGGAACAUACCCUUUGGUACGGAAUAGCCUCUGGAAACGGAGAGUAAUACCGUAUGAGCCCUUCGGGGGAAAGAUUUAUCGCCAAAGGAUUGGCCCGCGUUAGAUUAGGUAGUUGGUGGGGUAAUGGCCUACCAAGCCUACGAUCUAUAGCUGGUUUUAGAGGAUGAUCAGCAACACUGGGACUGAGACACGGCCCAGACUCCUACGGGAGGCAGCAGUGGGGAAUCUUGGACAAUGGGGGCAACCCUGAUCCAGCCAUGCCGCGUGAGUGAUGAAGGCCUUAGGGUCGUAAAGCUCUUUCGCCUGUGAAGAUAAUGACGGUAGCAGGUAAAGAAACCCCGGCUAACUCCGUGCCAGCAGCCGCGGUAAUACGGAGGGGGUUAGCGUUGUUCGGAAUUACUGGGCGUAAAGCGCACGUAGGCGGACUGGAAAGUUGGGGGUGAAAUCCCAGGGCUCAACCCUGGAACUGCCUCCAAAACUAUCAGUCUAGAGUUCGAGAGAGGUGAGUGGAAUUCCGAGUGUAGAGGUGAAAUUCGUAGAUAUUCGGAGGAACACCAGUGGCGAAGGCGGCUCACUGGCUCGAUACUGACGCUGAGGUGCGAAAGUGUGGGGAGCAAACAGGAUUAGAUACCCUGGUAGUCCACACCGUAACGAUGAAUGCCAGUCGUCGGGUAGCAUGCUAUUCGGUGACACACCUAACGGAUUAAGCAUUCCGCCUGGGGAGUACGGUCGCAAGA